UGGGGAAUAUUGCGCAAUGGGGGAAACCCUGACGCAGCAACGCCGCGUGAGUGAGGAAGGACUUCGGUCUGUAAAGCUCUGUUAAUGUGGAAAAAUGGCAUCGGGUCUAAUAGGCCUGGUGUUUGAUGGUACACAUAGAGGAAGCACCGGCUAACUUCGUGCCAGCAGCCGCGGUAAUACGAAGGGUGCAAGCGUUGUUCGGAUUUAUUGGGCGUAAAGCGCGCGUAGGCGGACCUGCAAGUCAGAUGUGAAAUCUCGGGGCUCAACCCCGAAACUGCGUCUGAAACUACAGGUCUAGAAUCUCGGAGGGGGAAGGGGAAUAUCGCAUGUAGGGGUAAAAUCCGUAGAUAUGCGAUGGAACACCAGAGGCGAAGGCGCCUUCCUGGACGAGUAUUGACGCUGAGGCGCGAAAGCGUGGGGAUCAAACAGG
rnacentral:rRNA from 1 species